rnacentral:rRNA from 1 species
CCUAACACAUGCAAGUCGAACGGGAAGCGGUGCAUAUUGCUUCGGUGAUAAUGUGCCGUGGAGAGUGGCGAACGGGUGCGUAACACGUAGGUAACCUGCCCUGAAAGGGGGGAUAACCACGGGAAACUGUGGCUAAUACCGUAUAAUCUCGCCGUGGCGGUGGUUACGGUGAGGAAAGCUGAGGCCAUUUGGGAGGGGCCUGCGGUCGAUUAUCUGGUUGGUGGGGUAAAGGCCCCCCAAGGCGAUGAUCGAUAGCUGUUCUGAGAGGAAGACCAGCCACACGGGAACUGAGACACGGUUCCGACUCCUACGGGGGGCAGCAGUGAGGAAUAUUGCCCAAUGGGGGGAACCCUGACGCAUCAACGCCGCGUGGAGGACGAAGGUUUUCGGAUUGUAAACUCCUUAACUGGGGGAAGAGAGAGGACGGUACCCCAGGACGAACACACGGCUAACUAGGUGCCACCAGCCGCGGUAAUACCUAGGUGUCGAGCGUUAUCCGGAAUUACUGGGCGUAAAGGGUGCGCAGGCGGUGUUACAAGUCCGGCGUGAAAGCUUCUGGCUUAACUGGCAG